rnacentral:rRNA from 1 species
AUUGAACGCUGGCGGCAUGCCUUACACAUGCAAGUCGAACGGCAGCGGACCUUCGGGUGCCGGCGAGUGGCGAACGGGUGAGUAAUAUAUCGGAACGUACCUUUCAGUGGGGGAUAACCGUAGCGAAAGUUACGCUAAUACCGCAUAUUCUGUGAGCAGGAAAGCAGGGGAUCGCAAGACCUUGCGCUGAUUGAGCGGCCGAUAUUAGAUUAGCUAGUUGGUGAGGUAAAGGCUCACCAAGGCGACGAUCUGUAGCGGGUCUGAGAGGAUGAUCCGCCACACUGGAACCUGAGACACGGUCCAGACUCCUACGGGAGGCAGCAGUGGGAAUUUUGGACAAUGGCGCAAGCCUGAUCCAGCCAUGCCGCGUGAGUGAAGAAGGCCUCGGUUGUAAG